rnacentral:tRNA from 2 species
GGGCCUGUAGCUCAGCUGGUUAGAGCGCACGCCUGAUAAGCGUGAGGUCGGAGGUUCAAGUCCCCCCAGGCCCA